rnacentral:rRNA from 1 species
UAGGGAAUCUUCCCCAAUGGGCGAAAGCCUGAUGGAGCAACGCCGCGUGGGUGAAGAAGGUCUUCGGAUCGUAAAACCCUGUUGUUAGAGAAGAAAGUGCGUGAGAGUAACUGUUCACGUUUCGACGGUAUCUAACCAGAAAGCCACGGCUAACUACGUGCCAGCAGCCGCGGUAAUACGUAGGUGGCAAGCGUUAUCCGGAUUUAUUGGGCGUAAAGGGAACGCAGGCGGUCUUUUAAGUCUGAUGUGAAAGCCUUCGGCUUAACCGGAGUAGUGCAUUGGAAACUGGGAGACUUGAGUACAGAAGAGGAGAGUGGAACUCCAUGUGUAGCGGUGAAAUGCGUAGAUAUAUGGAAGAACACCAGUGGCGAAAGCGGCUCUCUGGUCUGUAACUGACGCUGAGGUUCGAAAGCGUGGGUAGCAAACCAUG